rnacentral:rRNA from 1 species
CCUACGGGAGGCAGCAGUGGGGAAUAUUGGGCAAUGGGCGCAAGCCUGACCCAGCAACGCCGCGUGAAGGAAGAAGGCUUUCGGGUUGUAAACUUCUUUUGUCAGGGAAGAAUCGAAUACCGUACCCUGAGAAUAAACCACGGGCGACUUCGGUGCAAGAGGCGGGGGUAUUCCGGAGGUGGCAAGCGUUAUCCGGAUUUCCUGGGUGAAAAGGGCGUGUAGCCGGGUCGGCAAGUCAGAUGUGAAACCUACGGGCUAAACCGAUGACCUGCAUUUGAAACUGUAGUUCUUGAGUACUGGAGAGGCAGACGGAAUUCCUAGUGUAGCGGUGAAAUGCGUAGAUAUUAGGAGGAACACCAGUGGCGAAGGCGGUCUGCUGGACAGCAACUGACGGUGAGGCGCGAAAGCGUGGGGAGCAAACAGGAUUAGAUACCCGUGUAGUC